rnacentral:tRNA from 1 species
GCAGUGGCGGUUCAGGGGUAGAAUUCUUGCCCUCCAUGCAAGAGACGCAGGUUUGAUUCCAGGCCAAUGCA